AUUGAACGCUGGCGGCAGGCUUAACACAUGCAAGUCGAACGAGUGGCGGACGGGUGAGUAAUGCUUGGGAAUCUAGCUUAUGGAGGGGGAUAACUACGGGAAACUGUAGCUAAUACCGCGUACCAUAGGAUGAGCCCAAGUGGGAUUAGGUAGUUGGUGAGGUAAAGGCUCACCAAGCCGACGAUCCCUAGCUGGUCUGAGAGGAUGAACGGCCCCAUUGGGACUGGUAAACGGCCCCGAAGCCUACCGGAGGCAGCAGUGGGGAAUCUUCGGAAAUGGACGAAAGGUGGCGGAGCAACGCCGCGGGAGUGAUGACGGCCUUCGGGUUGUAAAGCUCUGUUAAUCGGGAGACGGUACCGGAAUAGAAAGCCACGGCUAACUACGUGCCAGCAGCCGCGGUAAUUC
rnacentral:rRNA from 1 species